rnacentral:rRNA from 1 species
GACGAACGCUGGCGGCGUGCUUAACACAUGCAAGUCGAACGAUGAAGCGCUGUCUUUUUGGUGGUGUGGAUUAGUGGCGAACGGGUGAGUAAUACGCGGGCAACCUGCCCCUCUGCUUCGGGAUAAGCUUUGGAAACGGGGUCUAAUACCGGAUGUGCCUGUCUGGUCGCAUGGCUGGGCGGGGGAAGUUUUUUUCGGCGGGGGAUGGCUCGCGGCCUAUCAGCUUGUGGUGGGGUGAGGCCUACCAGCGCGAGGGUAGCCGGCCGAGAGGGUGGCGGCACACUGGGAUGAGAUACGCCCCAGACUCCCUACGGGAGGCAGCAGUGGGGGGAUAUUGCACAAAUGGGCGCCAAGCCUUGUUGCAGCGACCCCCGCGGUGGGGGAUUGGAGCCUUCCGGGUUGUUAAAACCCCUUUUUGGCGCCGGGAAAGGGUUCCGGUUUGGGGGGGGUUGGGGGUACCCCGUUAAAAAAACGCCGGCUAACUUCCGGGCCAACCGCCCCGGUAAAACCUAGGGGGCCAAGCGUUGUCCCGGAAUUAUUGGGCGUAAAAGGGUCUCUAGGGGGGUUGUCCCGUCUCUGGGAAAAACCGGGGGUUCAACUCCCCCCUUCAGGGGGGAACCGGCAGGCUGGAGUUCGGCAGGGUGGUUGAAUUCCUGGGGUAGCGGGGGAAUCCCCGGAAUUAGGGAAGAACACCGAUGGGAAGCAGGCCCCUGGGCCGGUCCUUACCUGAGGAGCGAAAGCGGGGGAGCGAACAG